AGGAGUUGCUUGGAUCCCUGAAGAUUGCUGCAGAUGUUUCAGGAUUGGGGGAGCUGGUGUCUGGCCACCAAAGGCAGGCGUGCAGGGCCUUGGCUACUGCGCUAGGUCUGCUGAUGGCCACAAGCCUUUAGUCCCAGCUCUGCCUUAGCAAUGGGGGUGUCUGAAGGCUCAGGGGAUACACAGGUCCUCUAGGUUCCUGGGGAGAUGAUGGAAAGAAGCUUGCAAUAACUAAUUAGCAGCUCCGGCCACUGGAGAAAGCUCAAUGCCUUGAGAAAAGCAAAUGCACCGGAGAAACAAGUUAGAUAGAGCUGAAUUAAAGGUGAGCUUUUGGCCAGGCGUGAGAGUUUCGACCAGGAGUGGAUACUGAGGAGAGCAAAGAUCACCUGGUGCUCAUCAAGCCGGACUUCCAGAGGCAAAGCUCCUUAACUGAAGAAUUCAGAAGUAAUUAGACUUCCCUAUUAUCCAAAGCAGGCAUCUGGUACCAGCCUUCUUUCCCCAAA
rnacentral:lncRNA from 1 species